ACGCACGCUGGCGGCGUGCUUAACACAUGCCAGUCGAACGGUGAAGCGAGUGCUUGCACUCGUGGAUCAGUGGCGAACGGGUGAGUAACACGUGAGUAACCUGCCCAUCACUCUGGGAUAAGCACUGGAAACGGUGUCUAAUACUGGAUACGACCAACCCUUGCAUGGGGUGUUGGUGGAAAGAUUUAUCGGUGAUGGAUGGACUCGCGGCCUAUCAGCUUGUUGGCGGGGUAAUGGCCCACCAAGGCGACGACGGGUAGCCGGCCUGAGAGGGUGACCGGCCACACUGGGACUGAGACACGGCCCAGACUCCUACGGGAGGCAGCAGUGGGGAAUAUUGCACAAUGGGCGAAAGCCUGAUGCAGCGACGCCGCGUGAGGGAUGACGGCCUUCGGGUUGUAAACCUCUUUCAGCAGGGAAGAAGCGAAAGUGACGGUACCUGCAGAAGAAGCACCGGCUAACUACGUG
rnacentral:rRNA from 1 species